CGGGGGGGGGGGGUUGUGUGGUUGUUGUUGUGAUGAUGGUCUGAUGAAGGUCUGAUGGUCACCAUGGUAAAGGUCAGGGGUCAUCACGGUGAAGGUCAGCGGGUCACUGGCGUAGGUCAGCAGGUCACCAUGGUGAAGGUCAGGG